GCGGUACGUGCGCUGGAUGCGCUCUGCGGCCUUCUAAGCCGUGUGCGCCGGGUUCGAUUCCCGGGUGCCGCA
rnacentral:tRNA from 1 species